CGAACGGCCAAACGCCACUACUCCUGGCUCCGCCCACCUUCCCAGACGCUGCUCGCCGGCUGAGGUGCGACCCCCUGGAAGGUGUCCCCGAGCCCCCCAAAAAGUCUAUAUUUAUAGUUUUAUAAUUAAAAGAGGAAAAAAAAGCGUAGACAUGAGGUAAAAAUACCAGCCAUAGUUCCUAACAAGGGCAGAAGAGGCGUGUCUUCCUUCUCCCAUCCGCCCAUCCUGAAUUCCCGUUUAGUUUGUCACGGGUCUCUUGACAAAAAUCUGUAAAAGAAAAAAAAAAAAAAAUUGAAUGAAAAUGGUCCAAAUGGCGUCAUUGGGUAGUGUGACUGUGGACGAUUUAAAAACAAAACGAUUUUCUCUAAAUAUUCUAUGAGCAGUAUUUUUACACUGGAUAAAAAAGGGGAGAGUCGGUUAUUGGCAGAGGGGGGAGGGACUAGACAGCAGGCGUAUUGCAUUCCACGAAGCUGAUUUAAUAAGUGCUGUCUGUGAUGUUUGGCAAGCCUGGUUUAUAUCCAUCUACAAGGUUUGCGAACCCAUGUUGCCGUGAGUCAGUUACACCAUUUUUAUUAUAUUUCUCUUUUUAGGCUGGCAUAUUAUAUACCCCAACCUUGCUGCUAACUUGCCACGUAGCCCUUCUCAAUGCUUGCAACAACCUUGUAGAUAAAACAAAGAGUGUAUUAAAUGUUAGGUAGUAUUGUUAAAAAGCAAAUGAUUUGCGUUAUACUUUUGUGCAGCAGGUUUCAAUUCCAAGAACAGUGGGAUGGGAGGGGGAAUUUGUGCUAAUGAAUGUGCAUCUUCUGUCAGUGUAUGCGAUGUCAUCUGCCACCAAUUUCCUUCUAAUGUUGUAAAAUUCUAGCCAUACUAUAGUAUGAUUUACAAGUCCAGUAAUAUGUGAAUAAACUUUUGCAAAAUGAAGUUUAAAAACGGGUAUUUGUUAUUUUUAUUUACAGGAUUUUUUUUUUCUGCUACAGAACAACUACCUUGGUACAAUAAAAAAGACGAGUAUUUACUUUUCAUUGAAAGUGGAAGAACCUGAAAAGGAACUUAGAAAGAAGCAGCUGGGAAAGGUGAGAGGAAAACCUAGAGUGUGUGUUAUCCUGGAAGCCAAUUGAGGUAAGUGUUUCAAGAAAGAGGGAGUGAUCCACUCUGUGAAAUUACGCUAAUCCAUGAGGUUAAAAUGAAGAAUAAUCAUUGAUCAUGAGAUUUAGUGACAUGGAGGUCAUUCAUAACCUAGACAGGAAAAAUUCCCAUGGAGUGGUUGAGGUGAAAGUUGCAUUGCUAUGAAUUCAAGAGAAACUGAGAAGAAAGGAGUUGAAAACUUUUUGUAAGUAGCUAUUUCCAGGAGUUUUGCUAAAACAGUAAGCAGAGAAAUGGAGCAACAGAUUUUAGAGGAAAUGAGGUUAAUACAGGUGGUUUCUUUUGGUUUAUAAAUGAGAUAAAUAAUAGCAUGUAUAUUUGCUUAUUUUUUUGAGAGCUUCAGUGGUGAACUCUCAAGACAUUAAUCCUUUCCUCAUAGAAUCCAUUAUCUAGUUGGGGGAAAUUAUAUUAAAUAAAUGAUUACACAAAUAAUUAGAGUAUAAUUACCACACCUAACUUUUUCAAGGACAUCAAGAAAGACUUCCCUAUGUAAAUGAUACUAAGGUUGCACUUAGGGAGGGAAUAGUACUUGAAAAGGUCUUGGGCAGAGGGAAUAUGGCCUAUCAGGGAUACUGACAGAAAGAAGCUACUGAGCUUGAAGUACAGACAGAGGGGAGAAUGAAUUUGGCAGAAGAUAAAGAGGAAGAGUUAAUCAGUGGCUAAAUUAUUUAGGUUGGAGUUCAUAGAUUUAGUUAAGGUCUUUGGUUAUUAUGCCAUGUACCUUAGGGAUUCUUGACUUUUAUGUUUUUGGCGUAACAAAAGUAAACUAGCCAAAACUGAAAGGUAAAAGAUGGGACAGAGAAAGCAGAAAGGAAAGGUGAAUUGCAUUACCACUAUUCAUAAUGCCACCCAGAUGACAUUAGGCCAAGUCUAUCUGUAGUUUCAUCAUCAAUUAUUUUUUCUAAUAAAUACUAAAUGUAUUCAGUAUUCACAGCAUUGAGAUAUUUCUGUCUAACUGAUCAAAUCAUAUAGUAAGCAGGUCCAAUUUGUUUGUUAAUAUGACCAGUAACAACAGAUUGUCAUUCCCUACCUAAUAUCUUCCAGUGACUUUCUUUUAAUCUCUUAAAAAUAAUAUAUUUUCCAACUUUUUCUUAUGAAAUUUUUAAGCACUUGGAAAACCUGAAGACUAACACCUAUAUACCCAUAAUCUAGAGUCAAGAACUUUUAUCAUUUUGUUCUAUUUGCUUUCUCUGUUUUGCUGCAUAAUUUGAAAGUAAGUUACAGACCUCAUGAUGCUUCAUAUGCACAUAUUGCAGCAUAUUUUGCCUAAAAAUAAAGGCAUUCUCUGUAAUCUCAGUAUUAUCAUAUUUAAGCUACUUAUUUUCCUAUCAUCUAAUGCCUAAUCAGUAUUAGAUAUCUUCGAUGCCUGCACCCAGUUUUUAACAGUUUCAUUGGAGUUUUUAUACCAUGAGAAUUAUUUAUUUUAGGUGUACAGUUUGAUGAUUUACUGCAAAUUUGCAAAAGUUGUACAGCCAUCAUCUUAAUCUGAAAACAUUUCAUCAUUCUAGAAAGAAGUCUCUGAUACAUGUUUUUUUUUUUUAAUUGAACUAGGAUUAAAUCACACUUAUAUCUCUUUAAAGUUUUUUUCCUAAAAUAAUUUUUCUUUUAUUCCAUGAAAUUGAUUUUUAGAAGAAAUCAGCUGUUUGUUUUAUGGACUCUUCUACAUUCUAGAUUUAUCUGCCUGUUUUCUCAUUAUGUCACUUAACUUUUUCCUCUAUCCAUCUCCCAACUGCCACUCCCAAUAUUUUCUAUUAAAGUCCUGGUUAGACUCAUUCUGAUAUAUUUGGAAUAAAACCCAAAUUUGCUAAUUAUUUUCCUCCUCUAAAAAGUAAGCCCCAUAAAGCCUUCUCUAAUACCAGUGUGUGGUUCACAGUAGGAUCUCAGUAAAAAUUUGUUGAGUGAAUGAAUGAAUCACCUACAUUCAGAUUAUAUAUUUUUGCCAUCCAGUUUCAACCUCAGCUUAAGACAUUUUUCCAUUUUAAAUUUUCUCCCUCUGAGGAUGAAUACUGAGUGAUCCCUCCACUUGGUUUUUCAAAUCAUGCCAGUUAUGGAAAUGUAGUCCUUUUUGAUUCCAG
ensembl:lncRNA